UAUAUUUGCGAAGAAAUCGGUUCUGCGACGGAUCGUCUGUCCGUCCGGAUUAAAAGGGAAUCAGGUGAGAAUCCUGAACAGUCCCGCUGCUGUGAAGCUCCGAUAAACAUCUUGAAAUACCUCGUUGCCACUGGUUUAUUAACUGGGAAGGCUUCAAGAUGGGAGUCAGUCAGAAGACCUGCCGUUGCUCAUGUAUGCUG
rnacentral:ncRNA from 2 species